rnacentral:lncRNA from 1 species
CCUUCCCUCUUUGCUUCAAAUAAUCUUCCUCUUGCAAAUGUAUUCUCUGUUCAUUGGCCAGGAUACAACGUCGUGCCUCCUCAGAGGAGGAGUGGCUUUUCUAGCAAAGCCAAUGGACACCAAGAACAUAAUAUAACAGACCCUUCAUUUAUUUCCUGCAGUAUUUAAGAAGGAAGGAGGAAAUCUCCCUUCAGUUAUCUGUUUCUUUUAGAGAGUCAGACUCCUCUAGGGAGCUCACCAUGGCCUGGGCUCUGUCCUUCCUUGCACUUCUCAACUGUUUCUCAGGUAAGGGUAUGUAGGACUCGCUUUCCAUAGGUUUCUGAGUCCACAACGCCAAUUAUAUCCUAAGUUUAUCGUAGCACGCUUAUAGUAUUCAUGAGCAAAACAAGUGAAUCAAGGUAAUUUCUUCUUCUUUCUUUUUGAAAAGGUGUCCUUUCUCAACACACAAUGACUCAACCGGCUUCCGAGUCUGUGUCCCCAGCACAAACAGUUAAGCUCUCCUGCACUGCCAGCAGCAGCGUGAGCACUAUUUACUGGUAUCAACAGAGAGCUGGCCAGGCCCCUCGCUUUGUGCACUGUGAUGGCUGCAGCAGGGGAACAGGGAUCCCAGAUCGGUUCACCGCUUCCCGCUCUGGAACCACAGGCUAUUUGACCAUCAGCAGCAUCCAGGCUGCAGACGAGGCUAAGUAUUACUGUGGGGCUUGGUUUAACAGUGGCAGCUUGCUGCACGGUGAUUGUGUCUGAUGGGGAACUGAUACAAAAACCUUCAAUCUUCCUCUUAAUUUGGUCUGAAUGCGUAUGCGACAACAGCUGCACGGAUGUUAUUGGCACAAAAAUGGAAAGAUACAACAACGCCGACCAAGGAAGAAUGGCAAGCCAAACUGCUGGAAUAUACUGAAAUGGCAAAAUGAACUGUGAGACUUAGGAACCAAGAAGAAAAGAACUUUUAAAAAUAAUGGGGAAAAUUUAUAAUAUACCUAAAAGAUUAUUGUAAGCAAAUCCAAACAUUAACUGGACUCUAAGAAUCACUUGCAAAGUAAAAGAAGUUUAUUGUUAAUUUAUUUAUAUGUAGGCUCCCCCUCAAAAAAAAUAAUAGUAGAAGGGUCCAUGAAAGGGAGGGGGGAGUUAUGAGAUUCAGAGAAUCUCAUGAAAUGAGUAUAUAAAUGUUGAUAUAAAUUUGUAUUUGUAAAAACCAAUAAAGAUAUUUC